AGCGGCAGAAGGUGGAACAAGUAUACAACGCCCUUGCCUUUUACUAGGGCGUUCCGUGUUCUGCCCUCUGUUCGAAUGCCGCUUGCCAAUUUUUCAGAUAUUCCUCGCCUUGGCGUCU
rnacentral:snRNA from 1 species